ensembl:lncRNA
GUCAAGGUUGUGGUCUUCCCAUUCAAGACUGGUGACUACAAGGUAGCCAACAAUAAACUUAGAACACAAAUAUUGCAAUGUGAUAAAUUGUGUAUUCUUGCAUUUACACACAUUCUGAAUAUUAUGGAUUGGCUAAUUGUCUUUCAUGUUCUUCAGGUCUGGAAAGCUGGUAAACAAAAUUAAAUAUGAGGAGCCGAAUGUCAAGUCCAAAAGACUGUAAUGGCAGCUGGACAGAGAGCGUGGGGGAGAGAGACUUGAACAGCAAGAAAUACACAAGGACAGUGAGAGGAGUUGCUGGAGCAGGUGUAUGGAUCCUCUUUACCAUGACAGAAGAGGGUUCUGUCUGCUUCUGAAGGUAGCUAACCUGAUAUUCGUGAACCUUGUUACAGGCCCCAACUCGGAGAUUAAAACUUGCUUCUUCCUGACUCACCAAUGGAUGAGGCCAAUAAUAGCAGCCACUCCCCUGGCCUGCCGGCUCAAGAGUAUAAAUGGGGCCGCUGGGAAGCUCUAACGCUGCAGGACGUCCAUGGGCAGGAAAGAACGUGAGAGGAACAAACCGAGUGACUUGGACUCAUGUCUACGUGGUGCAGAGAAAUCUGGAUCAUUCAUUCAUUCAUUCCAUGAAGACUCAUCAGCACCUUCGAGAAGCCCUGCACUCUGCUGGGUUUUGGGAAUAAGAAAUGCAACGACCACAGAAAGAAGGAGGAAGCUCUCGCGCAGAGAUGGACACCGGAAUCGGCUCUUCUGCUUAGUGGGAGCAGAAUUCCGAGAUUUCUGGCUAAGUGUAUCAGUUACGACCAUGGCGACGGUCCUAAUGAGAGUAAUAGUAAAUGUAUUAAGCGGUGCGUAUUGAAAGGGCUAGUGACUUCGCAAUGUGCGGAAAAUCAACUCAGCGCCUUGACUGGAACACGCACCCUCAGACAAAGCCCCCGAAGGACACUGCGCUGAAGUGUAGGUUUCUUUCAGUCCGACGGAAGAGGCCCUUGAGAGGCAGAACGCCCGGUUGCUAACUAGUAACUUUAAAGAGUUUUAGAUAAACAUUGCCUUUAAAGAGUUUUAGAUAAAGCAUUGCCUGUUUUUAACCUUUGAGGUGUCCAGGGCUAGUCGAAUUGUUGAAGGACGACGGAGUAAUUCACAGGUUGGUUUUGGCCUCAACUCUUUCCUGCCCAAGGGAAUUUACGAGAAGGGAUGCUGGUGCACGACUGGUCACUAGAUGGCGCUCCAGAUCAAACCACCCUGGGCUGGACGGCUGCCUCUCCGGCGGCCUGCCUGGCACAGUCCUCAGUCAUUAACCUUGGGUUGACAUUGUACUGCCCAGAUUUCAAACCUCAUUCACACACAGUCUUGACAGACAGAAAUGAUUCUUACUUACAAGUGACGCUGACAGUAUUGAGAAUGGUCGAGUAGGGAGGCCAGCUGCCAGGACCUUUGGGGUCAGCCCUCCUCAUAAAGAGAUUCAUUGUCGUGGACCAGAGACCCGCGCUGUUUGAUCCUCUCUCUUCCCCCAACAGUUACUACGGAGAAGAAAUACAGAUGACUAGCUUCGCCCUGCCUACAGCUUAAAGAAGAAAACGCGUAGGAAGAGAAUGGACGGGGGUGCAGAGCGGGGAUCCAGGGAGGAAUGGGCCUAGAAACAAUCUCGGAGAAGCCACGUCAACUGUGUCUUACAUGUGAGCAGCAAAAUAAGCAUAAGAACCCCGAAGACCUGGAGAGACUGCAUAUGCUCUUUUAAAAAUUAUUAUUAUUUUUUAAUUUUUUAUUUAUUUAUUCUACAGAGAUAGAGACAGCCAGAGAGAGGGAACAAAUGCAGGGGGAGUGGGAGAGGAAGAAGCAGGCUCACAACGGAGGAGCCUGAUGUGGGGCUCGAUCCCAUAAUGCCGGGAUCACGCCCUGAGCAGAAGGCAGGCGCUUAACUGCUGUGCCACCCAGGCACCCCAAAAAUUAUUAUUAUUUUAAUAGUGAGAAAAACCACAGUAUAGGCAAUGUGUAAGAGGGUAGUGACCUGUUUGUUACCUGGUAGGAAAUGACAUCUUUAGGUCAGCAAUGUCAUUGACAAUAUUAUUAUUAUCAUAUAGUAUCAUAUAAUAAUAUUAUUUUAGAAUAUACAAUAAUAUAUGGAAUUUAUUAUAUAGUUAUAUUAUAUUAGAAUAUAUAAUAGUAUAUUAUGUAAUAUAUGUUUUAGAAUAUAUCAUCAUCGUCAUCUUGGCUUAACCUUGAUUAUAU